rnacentral:rRNA from 1 species
CAUGUAGGCGGCUCGCCAAGUCUGAUGUGAAAGCCCGGGGCUCAACCCCGGAAGUGCAUUGGAAACUGGCGAACUUGAGUACGGGAGAGGAAAGUGGAAUUUCGAGUGUAGGGGUGAAAUCCGUAGAUAUUCGAAGGAACACCAGUGGCGAAGGCGGCUUUCUGGACCGAUACUGACGCUGAGAUGCGAAAGCGUGGGGAGCAAACAGGAUUAGAUACCCUGGUAGUC